rnacentral:rRNA from 1 species
CCUACGGGAGGCAGCAGUGAGGAAUAUUGGUCAAUGGGCGGGAGCCUGAACCAGCCAAGCCGCGUGAGGGAAGAAGGUACAGCGUAUCGUAAACCUCUUUUGUCAGGGAACAAAGGCGGGGACUAGUCCCCGGAUGAGGGUACCUGAAGAAAAAGCAUCGGCUAACUCCGUGCCAGCAGCCGCGGUAAUACGGAGGAUGCGAGCGUUAUCCGGAUUUAUUGGGUUUAAAGGGUGCGCAGGCGGCCUGUUAAGUCAGCGGUCAAAGCCCGGGGCUCAACCCCGGCCCGCCGUUGAAACUGGCAGUCUCGAGUUGGAGAGAAGUAUGCGGAAUGCGCGGUGUAGCGGUGAAAUGCAUAGAUAUCGCGCAGAACUCCGAUUGCGAAGGCAGCAUGCCGGCUCCACACUGACGCUGAGGCACGAAAGCGUGGGUAUCGAACAGGAUUAGAUACCCGAGUAGUC